rnacentral:rRNA from 1 species
CUGAAAUUGCUGAAAAGGAAGCGAUUGGAACCUUUACGAAUUGAGUGUGUGAAUGUCUUUUCGUAUCGAGUCCUGGGGAGGUAGGUUGUUCUCCGCUUUUUGUGGAGUGUCGCCUUUCUCCGGUAAAGCUAUAGAUAUGAGAACCGGGGAUCACACUUGAGAGGUCAGCAUCAGUUACGAACAGAGAAUUAGGGGUGYAAAAGGUAGGUUCCUUGUUUUUUUGGGCUGCUUUAUAGAUGCAUCAUUUCCAUCCUCUUGUCUGUGACUGAGGUUGUCGCAUGGAAUACGGAGCAAUGCCAUAUUCUGUGAUGCUGGCUWAAACGGUUUCAACCGACCCGUCUUGAAACACGGACCAAGGAGUCUAACAUAUGUGCGAGUAUGCGGGUGGCAAACCUGUAUGCAUAAUGAAAGUAAGAGUAGCGAUGUGGUUGUAUUAUUGUUNGUCUAUCCACAACANGUAAUCAAUCACUGCAGCUACGACCGACCAUGAUCUUUUCGUAGAGAGAGGUUUGAGUUGGAGCAUAUCUGUUAGGACCCGAAAGAUGGUGAACUAUGCCUGGGUAGAAUGAAGUCAGGGGAAACCCUGAUGGAGGUUCGUCGCGAUACUGACGUGCAAAUCGUUCGUCAAACUUGGGUAU